UAUGAAGGCGAUAAGGACCAAAUGGAAGUCGUCGAUGAAAACGAGCCUACCAAUCGGUCUACCCCAGCCCCUGUAGUGGAAGAAGAUGUCCAUUCCAAUGUUGCUCACCAAGCUAAUCCAUUGGGCCAACAUGUCCCGGUUGCAUCUCCAAUCCCUGAUGAUGAUUGCCCGGAGGCUAUAACUCGUUCACAGAUAAACGUCGCCGACGCACCUGGCGGUGAUGAAAACAUUGUUAACAACCCUGAC